rnacentral:lncRNA from 1 species
GACCCCGCGGGAGGGCGCCGGGGAGGCCGCGAGGACCGCGCCGGGGGUCUGCGCCCAGGCGAGCUGUGUCCCUCCGAGGCGAAGAUAGGAAGCUGCCCCGCGGCGCGCGGUCCCCAGGCAGGGUGCUCGCGGGCGGAGUCAACACAGCCUGGCCUCGGCACCGGCUCAGGCCGCCAGAGGGCGCGCGGGUUCGGGAAAUGGCUUCCCCGCCGCAGGAGGAGGGCCGAGCUCCCCGCGGGGCGGGAGGAGAAGGGAAAACCGCGGACAACCCCCGCCUUGGCGUCGAGGGUCUCCACCAAAGCCCCACGCGAGAACGGGCCGCGUGUUUCUGGUGAGAGGGGUCUCGAUCGUGCCAUCCACCGCGAGGGUCUCCUUCUCUGGGAUUGAUCUGGAUGCAGGUAAGCCUGGCGGGUCUGCUUCUGACAUAUGGCCUUGUCCCCUUGCCAAAGCUGAUUGGGCCAGGAAUGGGCUACUGAUCUCUGUUUGGCCAACCACAGCCUCUGUCUGGGACGCGUUAGGCUGGUGCUAAGGCNNNNNNNNNNNNNNNNNNNNNNNNNNNNNNNNNNNAGAGCGAGACUCCGUAAUGUCAGCUCUUCUUAUUACUUGGCCUGUCCUGGAAGCUGAUUUUAAAGCCUGCAUUUUCCUGGACACUGAAGGUGUCCCAAAGACCCUGGCCUCCUUCCCGAGUCUCAUCCACUGACCUGAGACAGUGGCUGGGAAACAGUCCUGGGGGUGAGGAU